rnacentral:rRNA from 1 species
UACGAAGGGGGCUAGCGUUGUUCGGAUUUACUGGGCGUAAAGCGCACGUAGGCGGAUCUUUAAGUCAUGUGUGAAAUCCCUCGGCUCAACCGGGGAACGACGCAUGAAACUGGCAAGCUAGAGUACCAAAGAGGGGGGUGGAAUUCCCGGUGUAGCGGUGAAAUGCGUAGAGAUCUGGAGGAACACCCGUGGCGAAGGCGGCGCCCUGGUCCGUUUCUGACGCUGAGACGGCGAAAGCGCGGGGAGCGAACGGG